rnacentral:pre_miRNA from 1 species
UACAAUAUUUUAACUCUUCGUCUUAUUUGAAAUAUUUUGUGAUUAAUAUUUUUUUCUUACUAGAUGAUAAAACAUGAAUAGGAUUUUACGCGUGACUAACUUUUUUUAAGUUUCUUUACAAAAUUUUCAAAUAAGACGAACGGUCAAGCGUUGGAUAUGGAAAAACA